rnacentral:rRNA from 1 species
CUACGGGUGGCACCAGUGAGGAAUAUUGCACAAUGGGGGGAACCCUGAUGCAGCAACGCCGCGUGGAGGAUGACGCAUUUCGGUGUGUAAACUCCUUUUAUAUGUCAAGAAAAUGACGGUAGCAUAUGAAUAAGCACCGGCUAACUCCGUGCCAGCAGCCGCGGUAAUACGGAGGGUGCAAGCGUUACUCGGAAUCACUGGGCGUAAAGGACGCGUAGGCGGGUUGGAAAGUCAGGUGUGAAAUCCUACAGCUUAACUGUAGAACUGCACUUGAAACUUCUAAUCUAGAGUAUGGGAGGGGGAGAUGGAAUUAGUGGUGUAGGGGUAAAAUCCGUAGAUAUCACUAGGAAUACCUAAAGCGAAGGCGAUCUCCUGGAACAUUACUGACGCUAAGGCGUGAAAGCGUGGGGAGCAAACAGGAUUAGAUACCCUAGUAGUC